AAAAAAGUAUAGGCCUUGUGCGUAAAAAUAGGUUCUUCUUCCGGCCGUCCCUGCCGUUGGAUCUGUGUAUAGCGCAGAAAGCCAUUAAAGCUCAGCAUCCAUUUUCCGCCAAAUUCCUUUGUCAAACAGAACUUAACAAAAUAUUCUGUUUGAUCAACCUCUACCUACGAUCAUCCAUAGAUUUAGGGUUCCGGUACACUGAGAAUGGCGGAGCCGGCAAGUCCAGGAGGCGGCGGCGGAAGCCAUGAGAGUGGCGGUGACCCGAGUCCUCAGUCCAACUUGCGAGAACAGGAUAGGUACCUACCGAUCGCUAAUAUUGGACGCAUAAUGAAGAAGGCAUUGCCUGCUAAUGGGAAGAUCGCUAAGGAUUCUAAAGACACGGUUCAGGAAUGCGUAUCUGAGUUCAUCAGUUUUAUUACUAGCGAAGCUAGUGAUAAGUGUCAGAAAGAGAAGAGAAAGACGAUCAACGGAGAUGAUUUACUAUCAGCCCUGGCUACCUUGGGAUUUGAGGACUACAUUGAACCACUGAAGGUCUAUUUGACUCGAUACAGAGAGAUGGAGGGAGAUGCCAAGGGAUCUGCAAGGGUUGGUGAUGCAUCUGUUAGAAAAGAUGUAGUUGGAAGUCAGCUUGGGUCCAAUACGCAGUUCAUGUAUGAAGGUUCUUUUGCACAAGGCUUAGACUAUGGAAACUCCCAAUUAUGAAUUUUACGAUGAACAAAGAACUUUGGAUGCAUACCCAAAAAAAAGCUGAAUACAUAGAACAGUGGUUAGUCUUUUGCUGGUACAAGAUGCCAGGGUUUCUCUUCUUGCUGAUAUCUGUGUUAAACUGUCAACAACAUUGUUGGUACUUGUUUGAGAGGACUAGACGCCUAAAGGAUUCCUACUAAUUUCUGCAAAUAUAUUUGUUUGCUAUACUUUGAUUUUAAUUCUCUUCCGCUCUGUACAUACCAUUUGGUUUUGAAUGUCACUUGGAACAAACCAUCUAUUGUAGUUUGUACAGCACCUAAGUGCCCAAACAUUUGGAUCUGUUCUAUUCUUCUAGUGUUUUUUGAUAUUGAUUUUCCAAAAAAAAAAGCGAAUGUUAUAUGGAUUUUCUAGUU